rnacentral:misc_RNA from 1 species
GAUGAAGAACGUAGCGAAAUGCGAAAAGUAAUGUGAAUUGCAGAAUUCAGUGAAUCAUCGAAUCUUUGAACGCACAUUGCGCCCGCCAGCAUUCUGGCGGGCAUGCCUGUUCGAGCGUCAUUUCAACCCUCGAGCCCCCCCCGGGGGCCUCGGUGUUGGGGGACGGCACACCAGCCGCCCCCGAAAUGCAGUGGCGACCCCGCCGCAGCCUCCCCUGCGUAGUAGCACACACCUCGCACCGGAGCGCGGAGGCGGUCACGCCGUAAAACGCCCAACUUUCUUAGAGUUGACCUCGGAUCAGGUAGGAAUACCCGCUGAACUUAAGCAUAUCAAUAAGCGGAGGA